rnacentral:rRNA from 1 species
CCUACGGGAGGCAGCAGUAGGGAAUCUUCCACAAUGGGCGAAAGCCUGAUGGAGCAACGCCGCGUGGGUGAAGAAGGUCUUCGGAUCGUAAAACCCUGUUGUUAGAGAAGAAAGUGCGUGAGAGUAACUGUUCACGUUUCGACGGUAUCUAACCAGAAAGCCACGGCUAACUACGUGCCAGCAGCCGCGGUAAUACGUAGGUGGCAAGCGUUAUCCGGAUUUAUUGGGCGUAAAGGGAACGCAGUCGGUCUUUUAAGUCUGAUGUGAAAGCCUUCGGCUUAACCGGAGUAGUGCAUUGGAUACUGGGAGACUUGAGUGCAGAAGAGGUGAGUGGAACUCCAGGUGUAGCGGUGAAAUGCGUAGAUAUAUGGAAGAACACCAGUUGCGAAAGCGGCUCUCUGAUCUGUAACUGACGCUGAGGUUCGAAAGCGUGGGUAGCAAACAGGAUUAGAUACCCCUGUAGUC